UACAGAGGGUGCAAGCGUUAAUCGGAUUUACUGGGCGUAAAGCGCGCGUAGGUGGCCAAUUAAGUCAAAUGUGAAAUCCCCGAGCUUAACUUGGGAAUUGCAUUCGAUACUGGUUGGCUAGAGUAUGGGAGAGGAUGGUAGAAUUCCAGGUGUAGCGGUGAAAUGCGUAGAGAUCGGGAGGAAUACCGAUGGCGAAGGCAGCCAUCUGGCCUAAUACUGACACUGAGGUGCGAAAGCAUGGGGAGCAAACAGG
rnacentral:rRNA from 1 species